rnacentral:lncRNA from 12 species
GGAUGGCUAAAGGCAAAGGAGAUGGAACAGCUUUCCACUGGAUGGAACAACAUUCCACUGGAUGCCUGAGUUUGGCUCAAGGCGACCAUGAACAAACACUAUGAUGUCUCCCAGCAAACCCUUGACCUCCAGAGGCUCUGCUUUGACCCAGACCUGCAUGACUGGAAAUACCCACAGGAAGCAACAUGGAUGUUGUUAC